rnacentral:rRNA from 1 species
CCUACGGGAGGCAGCAGUGGGGAAUAUUGCACAAUGGGGGAAACCCUGAUGCAGCGACGCCGCGUGGGUGAAGAAGCGCCUCGGCGCGUAAAGCUCUGUCAGCAGGGAAGAAAAUGACGGUACCUGAAGAAGAAGCCCCGGCUAACUACGUGCCAGCAGCCGCGGUAAUACGUAGGGGGCAAGCGUUAUCCGGAUUUACUGGGUGUAAAGGGGGCGCAGACGGCGUUUCAAGCCAGGAGUGAAAGCCCGGGGCCCAACCCCGGGAGUGCUCUUGGAACUGCGGGGCUAGAGUGCAGGAGGGGCACGCGGAAUUCCUGGUGUAGCGGUGAAAUGCGUAGAUAUCAGGAGGAACACCGGUGGCGAAGGCGGCCUGCUGGACUGCAACUGACGUUGAGGCCCGAAAGCGUGGGGAGCAAACAGGAUUAGAUACCCGGGUAGUC